rnacentral:rRNA from 1 species
GGACUACCCGGGUUUCUAAUCCCGUUCGCUACCCUGGCUUUCGCGCCUCAGCGUCAGAAGAGGUCCAGCACGUCGCUUUCGCCACCGGCGUUCCUUCCGAUAUCAACGCAUUUCACCGCUCCACCGGAAGUUCCACAUGCCCCUAUCUCCCUCUAGCCCGCCAGUAUCAAGAGCACUUUUCCGGUUAAGCCGAAAGAUUUCACUCCUGACUUGGCAGGCCGCCUACGCGCCCUUUAAGCCCAGUGAUUCCGAACAACGUUCGCACGGUUCGUCUUACCGCGGCUGCUGGCAC